UAAAAAUUUAAAAAUAAGAUACUUAAGAAUUAAUAGUUAUGUUCUUUAAAUUUAAAAAAUUUGGCGGUAUUUUAGUCUAUUCAGAGGAACCUGUUCUGUAAAUGAUAUUCCACGAUCAGAAAUACUUAAUUUAAAAAUUUGUAUAUCGUUGUUUAAAAGAUUUUAUUAGAAUAAAAAUUUUUAAUAAAUUUUAUAAAAUUAUUAAUCAGAUCAAGGUGCAGUUUAUAUUUAAGUAGAAAUGGGUUACAAUAAUUUAUAAUUAUAUGAAUUAAAAAUUUUAAAUUUUUAUGAAGGUGGAUUUGAAAGUAAAUUUAUUUAUGUAUUUAAAUUGAUUUAAGCUCUAAAAUAUGU
rnacentral:rRNA from 1 species